ensembl:lncRNA
GUCAGCACUCACUUCAGCUUCUUUACACAGACAGCAUGAAAUUAAAUAAAUCUAGUGCACAGGAAGGAAUGCAAUGUCAACUCUUUCCAAUUUAUUAUCCAGUGAAUUCCUGCUUGACCAACCUGAUCACCUUCUAUGAUCCAGUGACCCGUCUGGUGGAUGAGGGAAAGGCUGUUGAUGUGCUCUACCUAGACUUCAGCAAAGCCUUUGACACUGUCUCCCACAGUAUUCUCCUGCAGAAGCUGGCAGAUCGUGGCUUGGACAGAUACACUCUUGGCUGCAUUCCACUACUUUUUUUCUCCUGAGACAAGUGAACAACUGAAGCUCUGCAUCAUGAUAGAACCAAAGAAAUCUGUCUUCUGCCAGAAAACAAGAACCUAGGCUGGUCUAAAAGCGUGAAGAACUUGUGUGGCUCUGUAUGACUCCAGUCUGAUUCUUCUUGCUGAGAAAUUUCCAUUACCCCCUUGAAGGAAUUUAGCAAUGCUAUGCAAUACCACAUGUAGAGCUUUUCAGAAGUUGUUUUCAAAUUCAAAUGGAACAAACAGUUCAAUUAAGAUUAAAAUACCUAGGAAGAGUGGAGUUUUCCAGAAAUCAAAAUGCUUAACAUAUAUUGUUUUAUAGAGGUCUGUAGCCUGCUGAAGAAAUAACUCAGAACAUGCUCUUCUUACUUUAUUGCUCUGUAUUUUGCAAAAUAAGUGGAAUUAAGGAGGAACUUGGAACAGCAUUUUUGCCUUGAUCCAAUUUUUGCAUAAUACACAUUUAACAACUUUCACUUGAAUCACCCUUUUAUGUUAAUCAUUCAGAG